rnacentral:sRNA from 1 species
GGAUGUAAGGACAAUCUGGAUUUGGCACUUCACCCCACCCUCUACAGGGUUACCUGGCUGGGUAGACAGGCAUGCCCUUCCUCACCAUCCCAUGCACAUCCCUUCCUAAGCUAAAUAUCGAGUUAAAGAGGACAGCCUUCUCUGAUUGAGGAAGACCAUUCUUCAGCCAAGGACACAUAAAUAGCUGUGCCCCCUGCUAGAACUGCCAAACAAGCUCCUUAACCUCUGAAGGCUCUGCUCCUUGAAGCUGGCCAGGACUCAACUAACCCUUU